CAGUAGCCGCGGUAAUACGUAGGGUGCGAGCGUUAAUCGGAACUACUGGGCGCAAAGCGUGCGCAGGCGGUUGUGUAAGACAGGUGUGAAAUCCCCGGGCUUAACCUGGGAACUGCGCUUGUGACUGCACAGCUAGAGUAUGGCAGAGGGGGGUGGAAUUCCACGUGUAGCAGUGAAAUGCGUAGAUAUAUGGAGGAACACCGGUGGCGAAGGCAGCCCCCUGGGCCAAUACUGACGCUCAUGCACGAAAGCGUGGGGAGCAAACAGGAUUAGAUACCCGAGUAGUCCCUGUCUCUUAUAC
rnacentral:rRNA from 1 species